rnacentral:rRNA from 1 species
AACGAACGCUGGCGGCAUGCCUAACACAUGCAAGUCGAACGAGACCUUCGGGUCUAGUGGCGCACGGGUGCGUAACGCGUGGGAACCUGCCCUUAGGUUCGGAAUAACUCCCCGAAAGGGGUGCUAAUACCGGAUAAUGUCUUCGGACCAAAGAUUUAUCGCCUUUGGAUGGGCCCGCGUUGGAUUAGCUAGUUGGUAGGGUAAAAGCCUACCAAGGCGACGAUCCAUAGCUGGUCUGAGAGGAUGAUCAGCCACACUGGGACUGAGACACGGCCCAGACUCCUACGGGGGGCAGCAGGGGGGAAUAUUGGACAAGGGGCGAAAGCCUGAUCCAGCAAUGCCGGGGGAGGUAUGAAGGCCUUAGGGUUGUAAAGCUCUUUUACCCGGGAUGAUAAUGACAGUACCGGGAGAAUAAGCCCCGGCCAACUCCGU